rnacentral:lncRNA from 1 species
GCCUGAUGUCUGUGAGAUGAAGAGAAACCUUAGCUUCUAGUCGUGCACAGCAGAAAGCAUAUCCAAAAAUAUCAAGCGAAAGCCAUCCUUCUUCCUCCGCGGAGUCGCAUACCACCACCCGUGUGAGUCAGGAUGCUGUUUGAGGCUAAAGAGAAAGUGAAAGAAUGUGACGUUCGGCAUAAUUCUAGCCAGUACGCAU